UUCUGGUGUCUGAAGACAGCUACAGUGUUCUCAUAUACAUUAAAUAAAUAAUAUUAAAAAAAAAAAGAAACAGUCUAUGUAGGCCAGGUUGUCUUCAAACCCACAAUCCUCCUGCCUCAGUCUCCCGAGUACUGAGCUUUAAGAUCUGUGCCCCACCUGACUCACUUGUUACUUGUAUAAUGCACAUUUUUUUUUGUCUUUUGAGACAGGGUCUUCAGUACCAAAAGCUGGCCUUGAACUCUUGAUCCCCUUACCUCAUCUCCCUAGGGCUGGGAUUACAGGCUGCACCACCGUGCCUAGCUUGUGUACACAUAAAAAGUGCCGGUCUUGAGGUGAGGUCUUGAGGUGACGAUUCCUGCUGACCUGAGUUUGAUUCUCAGAACCUACAUAGUGGGAGGAGAGGACUGAACUCACUCAAGCUGUCCUCUGACCUCAAUACACAGGCCGUUGAAUAGGUGCCUGCGUACAUACAAUAAAUAAUACCUCUUUUAAGGAAGUGUGUAUCUGGGUUAUUCAUUCAUCUUUAAAUCAGUUAUUUCCUUGUCAAGCUGAAUGAGAUCCUUAUAAGUUCUGGGGAUUAAUCCUCUGUUGACACGGCUUACAAAUGUUUUCUCAGUUCGCAGGCUGCUCUGCGCCUCUGUUGGCUGUGUGUGGUGUGGAGGCUUUCCGGUUUGCCAUAGUCCUGUUGGUUAGUCAUCUGCAUUUGCUCCCUCUGCUUUUGGGACUACAUCCAAACAUCUUUAAUUAGGCUAAUGUCCUGGAGCAUGUUUUCUGUUUUCUAGUGAUUUCAUUGUCUUGGGUUUAUGCUUAAGCCUCUGGUCCAUUUUGAAUUCACUUUUUAUAUGGUGAGAAACAGUGAUCUGGGUUUUUUUUUUUUUUUUUUUUUUUUUUUUUUUUUUGAAUACAAGUAGUUAUCCAGGUUUCUCAGCACACAACUCAAGAGAUUCCACUAACACUAACGGAUGAUCUGGCUGGCUGCCUUGUUCAAAGUCAGCUGGAGGUAAGUAAGUGAGGCUGUUUCCGUGCUCUACACUCUGUCCCACUGACUUCUGGGUUGUUUUUAAUAACAAUAUUAUGCUCUUCUGGUAGCUACGGUUUAUACUUUUUGUUGGUUCUUGAGGCAGAGUCUGAUUGUGUAGCCCAGGCUAGUCCCCAACUCAUAGAUCCACUUGCCUCUGCCUCCCAACUGCUGGAAUUAGAGGCUGGACAGCUUGUUUGCUCGUUUUUAACUCUUUCUUCUGGUCUCCCCCAUAGAGCAUCUACAAUUCGGAUGUGAACAUGUGUUCACUCAAUGGCAUCCUGUAAGUCUGAGAAUUUUCCUCACUCUUUUACAUGGUUUCUGUUCUGUUAUUUCCUCUUCUCUUAUUUGAUUGGACCCAUUCUAUUAUUCAGUCCUUCAACUGUAUUUUUCUUUUAUUUAUUGAUUUCAUUAGCUCCAAGGUUUGGUUUUUCUUAUUCCUUUAAGGUCCUCUUUUGGCUGAAUUUCCCUCUCAUAUCGUGGACUGUUUUCGUGCUAAUCAGGAUAGGUGCCCGCCAAUGUCUGAAAGAUACAGGGGCUAGCCUGGACUAGUGGGUCUAUAAAGAAUCCUUAUUAGUGUGCAAAGGGUUAACCAGUGGUAGGGAGUACUUUACCCAGGGGUAGGCUAGCCCUGUUGCUUCCCAAAGCCAAAGGCAGGUGGGCUGGGUAGCUAACCAGCAGCUCAUUUGUUUCUUGGAGACCUCAUGGGGACAAGGGGGGUGGGGAAUGAGUCACUCAGGCUGCCUCCCAGGGCUGAUGGUGUGUGAAUGGGACUGAUCAGUCAGGGACAGCAGGUAGGGAAACCUGGCUGUUUCCCCAAGCCCUUGACAGGACGAGCUGCUGUAAGGAUUGAUGGCCUGGCUGCUUUUCAGAGAGGCUGAGGAGAGGCUGCUGGCACUUCUUGCUUUUCUUUUGGAACACCAGGAGGGUGGUUUCUAUUCCGGGAGGGGUGCAGGCCUGCCAACCAAGCUGAUCAGGUGAGCUGCUCAGUACUUCCUGGGUUUAGGGAGGAUGGAAGCAGGGACAGAGACAUCAGGCUGGGUCAGAUGAUCUGCUGAGAACCUUGGCUCUGCUGGUCUCAGGACUAUUGCACACUCUCACCACAGCAAUCGAGGCCUGGGUUUUAGCAGGACACAGUGUGGGCUGAGUUCACUCUCUUGCCAACACUUCGGAAACCUGGGAGCUCCGCUAAAACACUCAUUCAUCCAUUCUCACUGGGUUCUGACUAUGUAGCCCAGGCUCUCUUCAAACUCACACAGUAGCCAAGUUGGCCUUGACCUUGCCUGCCAUUCUCCUGCCUCAGGCUUCUAAGUGCUAGGAUUAUAUAUACAAAUCCCAGCCCCAAACUGGUGUUGGGCACCUGGCUAGUUUCUAAUUUCCCACCAGCAGUGAGCAGAGCUCUAACCUUUAGCAGAAGACUUCUGCAUGCAGUUUAGUGAGAUGCCCACUGUCCCUGCAGUGGCCACACCGCCACACUGCCCACUCACGCACGGCAGCUCUUGGAUGGUGACAACUCUUAUUUGUUACUGUUCCCAGAGCUCUGCAGAGAUCUUACAGAGGCCUCAGGGGAUGUCGAGGAAGGGGCUGGGGAGGAGGGGGAAGAGUGGGCAGGGGCAGGGGCAGGAUUGCAUUCCAGGAGAUGUGGAUGAGGAUGGAGCCUGAGUUCUGGCCCCUACAGUUGAAAUGGAGGAAGUUUUCUUCUAUGCCCAGAGCAUGUUCUGCAGGGAGCUUCCAGAAUUAAGCCCACAUGCCAUGUGGACAAGCCGGAAGCUAGGGGCAGCACUGAAUUAAUGAGCCAUACUUUCCCUAUUCCCCCUCACCCCCCCCCCCUUUUUGGCAUUUUCAGAGAGGGUCUUCUAUGUAGCACAAGCUGGCCUUGAACUCCUAGCAAUCCUCCUGCAUCAGCCUCCUAAGUACUGAGAUCACACUCAUGUGUCAGCACACCUGGCUCCAUUUUCAUUCUUUCUGUUGUGAGCAUUGCAGAAGCAGAAAUGGCUCACCCUCAAUCUGUAGCUUUUCAUUACUUGUCCAGGAGAAAUGUCAACAGCCUUUUGUUUGGGCACGGCCUGGGUGAGCGUGCCAAGACUAGCUCAGAGGAAUCUCUUUAGAUGCACUUGUGUGUCUGUCCUUCUGCUCUGCACCAAGUCACUCACAAGCUGGUUUCUCCGAGGCUCCCAGGCUGCCAUCCGUUUGGUCCCUCGUGUGGCCUGCAGAACUACUGUGCAUUAGCCUCCAUCCUGGGCUGGACUGAGGUCUCCUCAGCCUCCCCAAACCCCUCUCUCAGCAGCCGACCCAGGGCCAGGGUGGGGUGCUCAGCCUAGUCCCCACCUUUUCAGUUUUACAUAAAUUUCAUCAGAAUCCUUUGAUCUGACUUCAGUUUACUUCUCCAAGACGUUGCAAAACGGCUAACUUGGCUGAAUUUUUCAAAACCGUCUUCCCAAUGUCCAGUGUAAUUCCUGGCACUCAAUAAAAAGAAAAUACACUCUGGGCUGGGUAUCCAAGCCUCAUGACCUGAGUUCUAUCCCCAGGACCCACAAAGGGGAAGGGGACACACACACACACCCUAAAAAAUAGGUUUGAGCCGUUGAGGGAGCUCCCUGAUGAGGUUUGAGGGAAGAAUGGUCUGUGCUUACUACAUUCUCAGUCAGUUCAGCCUCUCCCACCGCUCAUGCUGGGGUGCUGAUGGGCACUGUGGUGCAGUGGCCUGAACAUGGCGGGGUACACAGAGUGCACGGGUAGGUCACUGGAAUGCCUACUCUUGCCUGCUUCAGCAAGCCCAGGUCGGGGGUGAGCAGUAUGGUGAUGGGACAGGAACAGGAGAUGACCCCAGAUGACUGGUGAGACGAAGCAAAUUAAGGAUGAGAGUUAGUCAGGGAUGAAUGAGGACCCAGGAAGGACAGAAAUGACAGUAUGACAGAAAGAAAUGCACCGAGAGCUAUGGGAGCCUAUGAACGAUUUGUCCCCUACCAGGUGACCCCUGAGGUGGAGUUGUGAACACAAACACAAAGGGACACAAAGCAUAGGUGUGCGGACAGUGCCCCACACUGAGUGCUGGCUUCACCUAGUGCCCCUCUCUCCACAGCUGAGAGGAGCGGCCUGCAGCAAGCAGUUCUGCCAGAGAGUGCCACUCCCAGCUGCUUGUUAAAGUAAAGCUCUGGCUCUCGGGGACACGACUGGGAGGCAUUCCCUCCUGUGGAAUGGCAUGCACGAUGAGCAGGUAUAAAAGAGGGCUUUUCAGGGCAGUGCCUGAGGUUAGGUACCUGGAGACACCAUUCUGGUGUUCUGACAGCUCUGUCAGGUGGUCAAAAGGCUUCAGAAAACCUAAAUUAUAAGUUAUCAGUUGCAUCCUGUGUGGCUGAAGAUGCCAACAGCCACCUUCCUGCUAUGCACAGCAUUCCUGUAUCAACAGUUGCCAAUCACCUGGGCUUGUGUGUACAGUCUACGCAAGCCCUGACAGCUCCGGCCCAGAAUAUAUUACGGGAAGGUGUAUGCGGAGUGGAGGAAGGCAGGGGGUGAGGACAGAGCGGCAACAGCACUUCCUGCCCCUGACUGAGCCCUGACUGCAGGCCAGGCCCCAGUCAUGGCGGUAGCUGCCCAGGUGGUAGGGAUCACUGUUUCCACUCUUGCAGGCGAGGCUGAAGCUCGGCUUGACUAAGAGUCCUAUGCAGGGUCACAUAGCUCAGUAAGUGGGGAAGCCAGAUUGACACCCAGGUUUGUCUGGUUCCAAACCCUUGUCUCUUUUCCCCUUGUGUGGACCGAGAAAGCCGAGACCCCAGCUGCAUUCAGUCUUUGCUAGGACAACAUAAUGAGCCACUGUGAGUCUGGUCAGAGUACUGGCAUGGAUCAAUGAACCCAUGGUGAGGUCAUGGGGCAAAGAUGCCCUUCCCCCAUCCUGCCCAGCUUCACUAUGGUGCCGAGAGACAAUCUGAGCAGGGUAAGAUCACCUUCCGCUACCAAGCUCCCUGUUCCUCCAAAUCCGGGGGGGCGGGGCAGGUCCGAGCAUUCUCCAGCUGGAUGGGAACAGUUGUAAGCCACACCUCCAGGUGACUCUGACUAUCUGGCCGCCAACUCUGCCUCUAAAAGGGCUCAUGGUUGGACAAAAUGACCACUGCUUACAGAGAUUGGCUCUGGGAUUCUGUGGCCGAGAUUGGCUGGCCUUGCCUUCUGUGUUGAGCUCCCGUGUGGGGACUGAGCCAGAGAUGAGACAACCUUUUCCUCCCGGACCAGCACCUUCUGUGCAAAUGCUCUGCUUGAGGCCUGCAGACCCUACAGCCCAAGUUCUCCCCUAAUAACCAGAGGCUGCAAUACAGUUAAGUUUUUGUGAGGCAGCAGUAGACAGAGCAGGCAGGAGCCUGACUUUCCUGACAGCGGUCUUUCCCAUGUACCCCAGUCCUGGGCACAGCCUCCUGGGUUCUGUCCGGCCGCCUCUUACAUUUGACUUCGUUCUCCCUGAAUAAGACCGGCUGUAAGCAGGGACAGCAGAGCCACUGACUGCAAAGAUCAUGGUUUCUGUCCUACAGAACCUCAUGGGCUCAUGGUACUCACCCUAACCAGUGGUCAUUCUUAUUGCCUUCUACCUCCAGAGCAGGGGAGAACUGGAGCCCAGUUCCCUGGUUGGCAGGGGUACUUGUGAAUGCAAUGACCUCUGAGACAGGCACAAGGACAAGGACAGGGGCUGGUUGGGAGCCCUUCAAGGGGGAACAUAUCCUGAAUGUCCUAAUCCCACUGGUCCUGAUGGUGUGCAUGGGGGAGGGGAGGGUGGAUGGAGUGACAGAGACUGAGGUGACAAUAGCCUUUUACUUGGCCAGAUGCUUGGUGCUCACAGUUACCUUGGAGGCAAGAGAUCAGGACCAGAGGUUACAUCAGGCACCAGACUAAUCAGGUCCCCCAGAGAUGGCUUCUGAGCCCAGGCCCCAAGCACAUGCCUUACCCCUUUGGUGGUCCUGCCCCACUGGGUGUCUGCUUCUUGGGGUGAGCUCUGCAGCUGGCCCUGGGCCCAGGUGUUCUAUCCAGAGGGUUGAAUAGCAGUGACGAAGUCUGUCUUUCAGCCAUGUCGACUCGUUCAGCUACGGGUAACCCUAUCUGAGCCCUCAGAACCGGGGUGGGGCGGGAAAGGGGGAUGAGGUCUGUUCCAACACAAGAGGCACAAAGAUGCCACGAGCUGACUGCAGGCUCGACUCAGUGCUUUCAUGAUGCUGUCAGGGGUCAGGCAUGUGUCUUCCCCACCAGAGGCUGUCUUCUUGAUACUUCUUUUUAUUUUAUUUUAAUUUCCGAUAAAGUUCUCAGACUGCCCAGGCUGGCCUAGCAUUCAUUAUUAUGUAGCCUAGGCUAGCUUUGAACUUUCAAAAUCCUCUUGCUUUGGUUUCCCAAGUACUAGAAUUACAGAUAUAAACCAUUAUGUCCAGCUCCCUUACUGGCAGAGAUGGGGGUCUCUGUAUUAUCAGGCAGAGCAGAGCUGAAUUUCCAGAAUAGGCGGGCAUGGGCUACAGUCCUGCUUGCCCUGGGGAGAACUGGGGUCUGGGGUAGGCUCCUCUCUUCUAGCUCUGGCCAUUUGUGGAGAACAGUCACAUAGUGACAGUGUUCUCUGGGAGCAGAUGAGCAGGGAGAGUGGACAACUUCCUGGAGGUGUAGUCAGCCAUCCAGUUUUCCACUCCAAGGACAGAGAUUUGAGCUCUCUCUCUGAGAGGAGCGAGGAGCGCAGCAGUUUGGAAGCAGGCAAUCUUGCUCUUGCUUUCAACAGCGCAGAGCUCCCCAUGUGGGGAUCUUAUACCUGAACCAAAAUAAGCAAAGCUGCUAAUCUGACGAGAUCAGUCUUCAAAUACCACAGGAAUGUCGCCCGCCUGCUCGCCUGCUCGCACCAGGGGCUGGGCUGGGCUGUUAAGCUCCCCUGGGGCUCCUGCCAUCCCGUGGCUGGGAGCAGGGAGCUGGGUCUGCUGAGGAAGAAGCUGCCCUUAAACUUCCUACCACACUUCAGCUACACACUGACCUCUCCUCCCUCGGGUUUAAAGGCUGCUGGCCUUUCCAGGGCAUACAAGCUGGGAUAAGUGUCUCCCUGCACCGCAGUCCUCGGCAGGCACACCAGUCCCUCCCUCUUCCAGAGCCUGUGCUCUUCCCAGCACCGUCCAGUGCUUCUCAAGUUCUGUGAGGGACCAACUGGUUCUGCUCUUUACACUUUAGUUCUGUCCCAGAAUGAUAACUGUACAAAAUAUAACAAAGAAGAACCACAGGGAAAUCGAACACCCGUGGAAAAUUAAGUAAGUCCCAUCUCAAAAUUAAUAGGCUCAUCAGCAUAAACUCACUGUGAUUGCUAUGAAAGUUUCCAAAACUUUAGUCUGUCUCUAGAAAACUGUGACGAGGAUCAGUUCAUAUCAUUUUUCAUCCCAUGAUACACCACAGAUUCUAAGAUGACUGAUACCCAGUCUGGGGCAUUCUGCCGCGGCUGCUGCCUGCCUUACCCUCAGGUGGGAGUUACAGAAGGCUGAGCUGGAGCAGCCUGGGCCCUGACCUGGGGCAGCUGUGAUGAGCAUAGUAAAAAAAUGCCUUUUAGACAUGUAAAACUAGCUUAGUCAGGAUCCCUGCGGCAGACACCCAAGGCUGCACCUGAUAAACAGAACUCCCUCAAGAUAACCGACCCAGCCCUAGAAACCACUGGACAGUAUAUAGCGCGAUCAAGAGUGAGGAUGUUCUGAACAUCUGGAGAGACACCGCCCUGAUCUGCCCUGCAGCUGGAUCCUAACCCUCGAAUCAGAGGCUUCUGCUAAAGAUCGGACCUAACCUUGAGCUAAGGGUCUCACUCUGUAGCCCUGGCUGUACUACAACUCAUUCUGUAGACCAAGCUGACCUUGAUCUCCGAGAGAUCCGCCUGCCAUCACAUAUGGCUGAGCUUACAAUAAACCUGAGAGAUUCAGGAUCUCUGUGGACAUAAAUCUCAGAGCGUCUGCAGUUGGUUGAUCCUGAUCAGGCUAAGUGAGGUGUCAAGACUCACUAUCAAUGAGUGAUACAAUCCCAUGGACUGGCGCCAUGGACCGGACAGAAAAGAGAAAGAAGCCAAGGCUAGCUCGCUUCCCUCUGCUUCCCGACUGCAGGCGCAGUGUGACCAGAGCCUUCCGCUUCCACUGCAACACCUUCCCAGCUAUGCUCCGCCCCAACUGUAAACAAGAAUAAACCCUCUAUCCUUAAGUUGCUUUUUUGGGGAUACCUUGUCACAGAAACAAAAGAAGAAACUAAGACAGAACGUAUCAUCAGAAACUAACAUCCAUUUAGGCAAUUUUCAAAAGCCACUAUGGAAGACACCUUGCCGAUAACUUCCAAAAUUAAAAAUGCUUAUAAUGUUU
rnacentral:sRNA from 1 species